AACGAACGCUGGCGGCAUGCCUAACACAUGCAAGUCGAACGAGACCUUCGGGUCUAGUGGCGCACGGGUGCGUAACGCGUGGGAAUCUGCCCUUGGGUUCGGAAUAACAGUUGGAAACGACUGCUAAUACCGGAUGAUGACGUAAGUCCAAAGAUUUAUCGCCCAAGGAUGAGCCCGCGUAGGAUUAGCUAGUUGGUGAGGUAAGGGCUCACCAAGGCGACGAUCCUUAGCUGGUCUGAGAGGAUGAUCAGCCACACUGGGACUGAGACACGGCCCAGACUCCUACGGGAGGCAGCAGUGGGGAAUAUUGGACAAUGGGCGAAAGCCUGAUCCAGCAAUGCCGCGUGAGUGAUGAAGGCCUUAGGGUUGUAAAGCUCUUUUACCCGGGAUGAUAAUGACAGUACCGGGAGAAUAAGCUCCGGCUAACUCCGUG
rnacentral:rRNA from 1 species